ACAAAAAGCAGGUUUGCAGUUUUAGUAUCUCCUUUAAAUAGGAUAUUAAUGUAUUUUAGUAUAGUUAUGAUAAAAAAAUCAUUCAGUCUUCUAAACUAGAGUCAGACCUUUCUUCCCACCAGCUUCACCUGCAUUUAUAAUAGCAGAUCUCUCACACAGGAUUGGUACAGAAGGAUCCCAGUUUCCCACUUCCAUCUUCCAGUCCUACAGAGUGGCUGAAGAGGGGACAGCAAUUGCUUUAUGUUUGCACAGGCUGUCACAGUAUGGAUGGCUUUGCACCAAAGCCAAAAUCUGCAAUGGAAACUGCUGCACUACCUGGCUUGGAAACCUCAAGGGUGACCUCCUGUUUAAACUAAAUGUGUAAUAGGAGAGCAGAGUUUGCAGACCUUGUUUCCAAGCUGUGCUACGAGCAGGCAAGAAGGGCUGCGUGGCAAAUGAGCCUUCCAGCACCCAGGCCCACCUGUCUGCCAGCCACUGAACCUCUGAGAGGACACAGCUCGCCUCUGCCACUUCAAAGGCCCAGGAUAAUAAAGUUACUGCCAUCAAAGUCUGCUUCUACAGGUAAUUUUCUUAAUGAAUUACUAUUUUCUUUGAACAUAAUUUAAAAAAGAGAACACAGUAAAUAAAAAAACCAUCUGAAACCUCCAAGAAAAGGAACAGAAUGUAGAAUGCAACAUGAAAUAUUUACAUGAAGGAGCCACGAAAGUAUCAUCAGCUGACAUUUACUCAGGCUUAGGACUGUACAAUAUUACUAUUCAAGGAAAGAAGACAAUUGGUGGGUAAAUCUUGCUUAUGUGAACAGUCCUGCUUGGAUCAGUCAGUGCUCUUUCCAGUAAGAUGAAUGCUAUUGUCAGAAGUAUAUUAACACUCAUAAAGGACCAGGAUGUGAAAUUUUGCUGUAUUGAAUUGUUCCAGUGAAACACAACAAGCCUUUCCAUGGUGCUCUCAGAGGUCAUUUACCCUUCACAUAACUUUUUUACCUUUCCUCUCUGUUCCUUACACUUUUCAGUCACUAAUCAGUGUUUUGCCUAGUCACCAUCAGUCAUCAUUUGCCUACUCCAUAUUAUCUAUGCACUGCUAACCUCACUUUUCAGUCUUGUAUGUUACUAAGUGGUCAAAAAGAAGUCAGAAAGCCUUAUAAAUGCAUGGAAUUCCAAGGAUCCCAUUUUAAAUGGAAAAGAAAUAAUACAUACUAUUAUGAAGUUAUUUUGGCACAGAGAUCCAGGACAUCCAAUUGCAAUUCCAGGAGCAGACCAAAUACUUCAGAAGCAGCACAGCAAAAUGAAGAACAGCAAGAAGUUGUUCAGAAAUGGAAAUUCAGACAGUUGGAAGGCAGAGGUCAACUCCAGAACACUCCACUACAAAUUACUCUAAAAGAUCCUCUUUCUCUGAUCCUAACCAAGAUGCACAGUGAGAAAAGUCUUUGAAAGAAACCUUAGAGUAGAUAAUGCUGGUCCUUCUCCAGCAGAUGUCAACAGAAACACUGUGUGAAGAUCUGCUCAUCCCUGAGAUGCCUCUGUGCUGGCCUGACCCCAAAAUCCAUAGGCAUGAGAGAAGGACAGGAAGCUCUGCACUCUGCUUAGGAAAAUCCAUAGGCAUGAGAGAAGGAUAGGAAACUCU
rnacentral:lncRNA from 1 species